UCCGGCCUGCGCACCGGCCCCUCAGCCACAGGCUCCGCCCCGCGCGCGGCCCGGGGACCUCGCGCGCGGCCCGGGGACCUCGCGCCCGCGCGCCGUCGUCGUCGUGCCUGCCCUCUGCUGUGCCUGAAGACAGAGCGAUUCUACACGCUUCAGUGCACGCUCUGUUGAUAAAACAGAUGAUGGAGGCGAGGCCUGUGUGAAGGUAGAAAAGCGGCGGAAGAUGUACGUGAUUUUUUUUUCCCCCCUCAAGGCGCCUUUGGAACACCCCCGCAUUCCCUCCCCGUGGACCCAGCCUUCCUCGCGGGGAGUAAUGGGGGUUGUAGUUCGCUUGCAGGCGGGGCCCUCCGGCUCUCCCGACCAGGCUGUGAGGAAGGAGCGAACCCUCGGUCGCCUAUGGGAAGGUCUUCUCAGGAUCGUGGCCGAGCCCUACGGAGCUGGGAGUUGAAACUUUCCAUUCCUGGCGGUGACGCCAGCAGGCUCAAGCUUAACCCUUAGACUCCUGUUUCACACCAUCUUUGGACAUUCUGGACAAGAACCCAUGGAGAAGGUGCUCUGAGACACUCAAGCUCCUGCUGUCUUGUCAUCCUACCCCUACAAGCAACCACCCAGUGACGUGACCUUGGGAAACUCAUUUACGCAGCAAACUCGUCAUCUGUAGAAGGAGACUAAAUAAGUUCUCUCUAAUGUUGUACGGAAGAUGAAACGAGAGACUCUGAUAAGUCAUAAAGCAUACCAUUUUGACCUGGGCCCAAUACAAGUGUAAAUCUCUUUUGGUGGCCAUGUGUAAAUCUCUUUUGGUGGCCAUGCCCAUCACUGUUCACGGUACAGGGUGGAUUAGAAAAUGUUUGACUAAAUAAAAAUAGCAAUUUACAGAGUGUUUUCAGAGUUGAUGACUGGUGUUCUAAUUGUUUAAGUGCCUAGCUUCUCUGGCUGUGUAAUAUUAGUAAGGAGCCAGCUACAUCAUUUGUAAAGCGCAGUGCAAAAUAGAAAUGCAGGAAGGGUCCCUUGUUCAAAAAUUAUUAAAAAUUUUAAGAUAGCAACACCAGCACACUAAGUGAAGAUGCUUUUAAGUGUGGGGCUGGGGUCACUGAAAAGAUUCCAGACCCCUAGAGGGGGUUCUGAACGUAAUUAAGAAAAUAGACUCUGGAGCUAGAUUCCUUGUGUUCAAAUCCCAGCUGUCCUGUUUUUUAGAUACAUGAUCUUGUGCAAGUGACUUAACCACUGUGCCUCAGUUUCCCCAUCUGCUAAAGGAAGGUAAUUAGAAUAUCCAACUCAAAGGUUAUUGUCAGGUUAAAUGAAUUAUUUUCAAAAAAUGAUUAAAAUUGGCACACUGAGAGCACUUAAUUACUGGUAACAAUUAUUAGCAUUAUUUUUAUUUUUGUACUGAGCCCUGUGAGAUAAGUGUUAAUAUUAUUCCAUAGGAAACUAAGGGCCAUAUGUAUCUUGUGCACUAAUGUGUACCUAGGACUUAGCAAAGAUCCUGGUGCUUUUGCUGCCUGAAGCCACUGAAAAUUAAGGUUGCUCUCAGACAAGGUAAAGGCAACUCACUUUACUUUAAUACACUGGUAUUGGUACUUGAAGCUGCGUCAGACAGACUCAAAGGUCCAUUCUCUAAGCUAAUAUGCUACACUCUUUCCAGCAUUAAAAACAUGGAAUGCCUGGGUGGCUCAGUCUGUUAA